rnacentral:rRNA from 1 species
UACGUAGGUGGCGAGCGUUGUCCGGAAUUACUGGGCGUAAAGAGCUCGUAGGUGGUUUGUCGCGUUGUUCGUGAAAACCUGAGGCUUAACCUUGGGCGUGCGGGCGAUACGGGCAGACUGGAGUACUGCAGGGGAGACUGGAAUUCCUGGUGUAGCGGUGGAAUGCGCAGAUAUCAGGAGGAACACCGGUGGCGAAGGCGGGUCUCUGGGCAGUGAACUGACGCUGGAGGAGCGAAAGCGUGGGGAGCGAACAGG